rnacentral:rRNA from 1 species
UACGUAGGGUGCAAGCGUUGUCCGGAGUUAUUGGGCGUAAAGAGCUCGUAGGCGGUUCGUCACGUCGGCUGUGAAAACCUGAGGCUCAACCUCAGGCCUGCAGUCGAUACGGGCGGACUUGAGUACUGCAGGGGAGACUGGAAUUCCUGGUGUAGCGGUGAAAUGCGCAGAUAUCAGGAGGAACACCGGUGGCGAAGGCGGGUCUCUGGGCAGUAACUGACGCUGAGGAGCGAAAGUGUGGGGAGCGAACAGG